GUGCUUGCUUUGGCAGCACAUAUACUAAAACUGGAACGAUAAAGAGAAGAUUAGCGUGGCCCCCGUGCAAGGAUGGCACGCAAAUUCGUGAAGUGUUCCAUAAAAAC